rnacentral:lncRNA from 14 species
GGACAAGUCAGAGCUGGGGCAGGCCCUGACUUGUCCCAGGUGCUCAGGGUUUAGGGAAGGCACAGGAAGCAUCUCCAGGCAGAUACCUUCUGCCUGGACCAGUCUCUUCCAUCCUCCAUCUCAGAACCUGUGUCCUUGCUCCUGGAGGAGUGAGCUGCUGCUGUUUCUUCUGACCUACCAAAUGAUGUUCAGUCCAGGUUUUCUCCUAGUGGCACAUUUGACUGCCACUGCUGGUAAGCACUGUGACCAGCCUAGCACCCUUCUGGAUAUCCCUUCUGGGCACAAGAUGCAUUGGGAAAUACUCCAUGGAGACCUCGUUGCUGUUUACAUCCUUGGGUUUCCUGCAUUGCAGUAUGAGAAACAGAAGAACAUGGAGGUUUUGCAAUUUGAGCUGAGCCGUGUAGGAGCUCCUUGGCAGAAGAGGCGGCCUCCCGAGGGGACUCAGGCAUACAACACACUUUCCUCUGUUGGAGCUCAUCAUUCCAUAACUCCAGAAAUUGCAAUAUAAACCUUGGCUACUACGCACACUUCAACUUGAAAACACAGCAGUGAUCUGGGAUUUUAAUUCAAGCAAAUUUGAAAGUGGAUUAGAAAUAGGAUCCAGCUGCAUCUCUAAUAGUCAAAAGCAAAAUUAGCAGAACAUUGGAGCUGAAAUGACUUUCAGCUUUUUUCCUCCCUUUUGCUUUAGAAGAGGAAUUACAUAGACGUAAAAUACCAUAAUUAAAUUGUCAUUUGUUCCUUACCUUGGUAGAAGCUCUUCCCAGCUGAACGCAUCUCAGUUUCUAUCCUAAGCGUUUACCUACAGCACAGGGUUGGGGGGGGCAUUGGGAUGGAGGGUGUUAUUACUUGCUUUAAGCAAUUAGAAAUCAGAGGCAUGCACAGCCUGUCUGCUAUAGUCUUCAGCGAGCGCCUUGCCAGGCUCUGCAGGUUAUACAUCAUUAGCACACAGAUUGUCCAGGAGAGCCCAAAGCUUGUGCAGGUGUGUUGGCAAAGCUCACGCCACUUCCCUUCCCUCCUCCCUCUCCGCUGCACUUCCAGCAAGCCGAUACUUGAAACUCUGUGUGGCAGAAUCACAGCGAGCUCUCCUCAAGCCUCUGUUAGCUCGAAGCUCACCCAGCAGACGUGACUCGGAGAUGGCGCGUGGAGCCUGGAAGGGACGUGCUGGAAAAACAAAACCAUGGAGUCAAGAGCUUAGUGUGUUUUUCCAUGAUUGUAUGAAAAGAAAAGCACUUGUGUGUUUUUCUUAAGCACUUUCAGAUAUUAGAAGUUUCGUGAACACAGACACGGCUGCUUUCUUUUUGUCUUCUUUUUCCCUGCCCUUGAACUUUGGGAAUGACUACAGGGAAUAUAUUUCAGCCUGUUUUCAAUGACCCGUUCAUCUGGUGGUUUGAUUUCAGCUUUUCCCAAAAGGGAGCGAGCUUUAUUCGAGUUCUGCUCCUGGCAUUAGCUGCCCUUACUUGCGCAUCCCACUCAGAUAAUCAAUAAAGUGGAUGGCAUCUGAAAAUAAUUACA